AACGAACGCUGGCGGCAUGCCUAACACAUGCAAGUCGAACGAGACCUUCGGGUCUAGUGGCGCACGGGUGCGUAACGCGUGGGAAUCUACCCUUGGGUUCGGAAUAACAGUUAGAAAUGACUGCUAAUACCGGAUGAUGUCUUCGGACCAAAGAUUUAUCGCCCAGGGAUGAGCCCGCGUAGGAUUAGCUUGUUGGUGAGGUAAAAGCUCACCAAGGCGACGAUCCUUAGCUGGUCUGAGAGGAUGAUCAGCCACACUGGGACUGAGACACGGCCCAGACUCCUACGGGAGGCAGCAGUGGGGAAUAUUGGACAAUGGGCGAAAGCCUGAUCCAGCAAUGCCGCGUGAGUGAUGAAGGCCUUAGGGUUGUAAAGCUCUUUUACCCGGGAUGAUAAUGACAGUACCGGGAGAGUAAGCUCCGGCUAACUCCGUGCCAGCCGCCGCUGUAAAAC
rnacentral:rRNA from 1 species